CCAAGAGUCCACAUCGACGGGGAGGUUUGGCACCUCGAUGUCGGCUCAUCGCAUCCUGGGGCUGUAGUCGGUCCCAAGGGUUGGGCUGUUCGCCCAUUAAAGCGGUACGCGAGCUGGGUUCAGAACGUCGUGAGACAGUUCGGUCCCUAUCCGUCGCGGGCGCAGGAAAUUUGAGAGGAGCUGUCCUUAGUACGAGAGGACCGGGAUGGACGCACCGCUGGUGUACCAGUUGUUCUGCCAAGGGCAUCGCUGGGUAGCUAUGUGCGGACGGGAUAAGUGCUGAAAGCAUCUAAGCAUGAAGCCCCCCUCAAGAUGAGAUUUCCCAUUCCGCAAGGAAGUAAGAUCCCUGAAAGAUGAUCAGGUUGAUAGGUCUGAGGUGGAAGUGUGGCGACACAUGGAGCUGACAGAUACUAAUCGAUCGAGGACUUAACCUAAA
rnacentral:rRNA from 1 species